rnacentral:rRNA from 1 species
CGUAAACCGGUAGUCGUCGAGUUUGAAAGACGUCUGAGGGUCAAUUCUUAGUUCCCUAGAGGUUCAGGUUUGUUGUACAGGUGGUUCGUCCACGGUGUUGUCUUGUGGAGUAGUGCAUGGGCAGGUUGCAUACGCGGUGUUGUUCCACUGAGGUGUCGUAGCGGAUCAAGACCACGAAGCUCAUGAUCCAGACACCCACGUAACUUAUUAAUAAGAUGCAGCCCCUUAUUUCGACCCUGUGGUGUAUUAUUACGCCGUCAACGUAGAAGAUUACGUUGAUUUCGACUUCGAUUUAGCUACGUAUUCGGUUAGUUGUUUUCCGUUUCGUUUAUUUGGAUUCCGUACCGAGGUUUAUGAAGAGUCACCACUUAAGGCCUAUGUGUAUAUACAAAAUUAGGAGGGCACACCCAACUACUUCUUCUUCUUGUUAGACUUGUAGCAAACCGCACGAAAUAGAUAUUUAUUUACGUAUAUGACCUCACAGAUUAUCAUACAUUCUUUAAAUUCUCCACGCCUUUUCUAUAUACCUGGUUAGAUAACGUACAAACAUCAAACAUGAAGGAACCACCUAAACAAGUGAUAGGAUUCAAGUAUACAACCAUAACAUAACUUAAGUGUGCAUAAUUAUAUAAACGUAACAUAACUCAAAAGAGAAGAAAAAACUUAACCUUAAUUGACAUAUAAAAACAAGAGUUUGAACACUUUAAAUAGAACUCGGCACUAUUAGACAUUAUAAAUAUUUGAGGCGUAGUGUAUUCGUUCAUUAGAUAGUGUGACUGGAGUUUGCUAAAGUUAUGUGAAAGUACCUUUAAAUACAUUCAUUAUGUUUUUAUGGUCCGUUUUAUGGUCGAUCUUUAUAAGUUUUCUUAAAGUUUAAACGGUUUUACAUAGAUUUAAAUAACUUAAGUUCGUUUGAAACAUUUUUUUAACCAUUUAUGUCCAGCAAAAAGAAGAGAUCCCCCGUCUCCCUGUACCUCUUAUGGCCUUUGACCUCUUAUGCGGCUCACUUUUUAGAGAUUCAUUAUGUUGUUCUUUAAAGAACGUGUUACAUACGUAUACGGUACAGUGUGAGAAACUGUCACGAGAAAGUACGGCUGUCUACCUAGGCACCCCAGCCCGUACUAAAGUCCUUGAGACGGUCCUCCUAAUAAAAACGAAGUAUGGCUAUUAUCAAGAAGACAUUGCUUCGAGAGCUUCGUGGUUAGGUACAGUAUUACCUCCAGUACCGGGACCACUAAGUAACCUAUCUAGAGAACAAAUCGUAAGUCAGAUUAAGAAGCCACCUGGACAAAUGGAACACCGGGCGAAACGUAUAUCUGUAGAUCAACAAGUCUAGUUUUCCGACUACGUUCUUAUCCUCAAAUACGUCAUCUUUCAUCGGGCUCUAGUUUUAUCCCACCGAUUAACACGUUUAAGACCAACAAGAUUUACGUAAUGACCUUAUUUUGAGGUGCAAAGAAGUGUUUACCAUGGAAAGAUGUAUAUUCG